ACGGAAGUCUGACCGAGCAACGCCGCGUGAAUGAUGAAGUAUUUCGGUAUGUAAAGUUCUUUUAUUUGGGAAGAAAAAACAAAUUGACGGUACCAAAUGAAUAAGCCCCGGCUAACUACGUGCCAGCAGCCGCGGUAAUACGUAGGGGGCAAGCGUUAUCCGGAAUUAUUGGGCGUAAAGGGUGCGUAGGCGGGUUAUCAAGUCUUUGGUUAAAAUGCGGUGCUCAACGCCGUAGUGCCAAAGAAACUGAUAGUCUAGAGUAUGGUAGAAGUGAGUGGAACUCCAUGUGUAGCGGUAAAAUGCGUAAAUAUAUGGAAGAACACCAGUGGCGAAGGCGGCUCACUAGGCCAAUACUGACGCUGAGACACGAAAGCGUGGGGAGCAAACAGGAUUAGAUACCCUGGUAGUCCACGCCCUAAACGAUGAGUACUAAGUGUAGCCAGAAGGCUGUGCUGAAGUUAACGCAUUAAGUACUCCGCCUGAGUAGUACGUACGCAAGUAUGAAACUUAAAGGAAUUGACGGGAUCCCGCACAAGCGGUGGAGCAUGUUGUUUAAUUCGACGAUACGCGAAGAACCUUACCAGGUCUUGACAUACUCGGCAAAUCUAUAGAGAUAUAGAGGAGGUUAACCGGGAUACAGGUGGUGCAUGGUUGUCGUCAGCUCGUGUCGUGAGAUGUUAGGUUAAGUCCUGCAACGAGCGCAACCCUUAUUGCUAGUUACCAUCAUUAAGUUGGGGACUCUAGCGAGACUGCCGGUGAUAAACCGGAGGAAGGCGGGGAUGACGUCAAAUCAUCAUGCCCUUUAUGACUUGGGCUACAAACGUGCUACAAUGGCUGACACAAAGAGAAGCGAGCUCGCGAGAGUAAGCAAACCUCAGAAAAGCAGUCUCAGUUCGGAUUGAAGUCUGCAACUCGACUUCAUGAAGUUGGAAUCGCUAGUAAUCGCGAAGCAGAGUGUCGCGGUGAAUACGUUCCCGGGAUUUGUACACACCGCCCGUCAAACCAUGAGAGUUUGUAAUACCCGAAGCCGGUGGCCGAACCGCAAGGAAGGAGCCGUCUAAGGUAGGACAGAUGAUUGGGGUUAAGUCGUAACAAGGUAUCCCUACGAGAACGUGGGGAUG
rnacentral:rRNA from 1 species